rnacentral:rRNA from 1 species
AUACGGAGGGUGCAAGCGUUACUCGGAAUCACUGUGCGUAAAGCGCGCGCAGGCGGUCUUUUAAGUUGGAUGUGAAAGCCUACGGCUCAACCGUAGAACUGCAUCCAAAACUAUUAGACUAGAGUGUGGGAGAGGAAGAUGGAAUUAGUUGUGUAGGGGUAAAAUCCGUAGAGAUAACUAGGAAUACCAAAAGCGAAGGCAAUCUUCUGGAACACUACUGACGCUGAGGCGCGAAAGCGUGGGGAGCAAACAGGAUUAGAAACCCCAGUAGUCC